GGAAGAUGGGGCUGAUUUCCCACCUAGAGAAGUUGAUGGGGGAAGGAAAAUGGAGAGGAACUGGAGUCGUGAAGGGCAUGGGUAUGGCUGAGGAGGGUGCUAGGAGCGGUACAGUGGUCUUCUGUCUGAGGGAGGGGGAGAGGCAAAGGUGAGAUCACCUUCCCUACUCUCCACCCUCCUGCAGGGGAGAGGAAGCCAGGGCUGGGGUCAGGAUACCCAUGUUCUGGGAGGCUUGACCCCAAAUCCCAGGCCUGGAAGCUGCAGGCUUGGGAUGUCUCCUGAGCACCUCUUGCAGCCCCCUCCUCUCCAGCAUGUCAACUCAGCCUCCCCAGCCCCCUCCCCUCAAGUCUAGGGGUAGCGUAGUCCCGAGGGCACCCCAGCCCAGCCCCUGCAUUGCCAUUUCCCCAGGGGUGGCCCCUCCACCUCUGCUCUGACCUCUCCCAUCUCUUUUGCCCCUCCCUCUUUUCUCACAAGUGCCAUGAGUUUUCAAACAUCUUCGGGUCUCAGCCUGCUGCUGCCAUGAACUUUGUUGGGUUAAGGGGGAGGGACUCUAGGAAGGAACUGGGGGAAAGGGACAGGUAGGUGGCUGGAGGGACCCUUUUUGCUGCUAGAAAGCCCCUCCCUUCUCCUGGGGAGCUGGGGCUGGCUUGUCCCCAUCAAUUAGGGGAGAAGGGGUCAGACCAAAGAUGGUGGUUUGUCCCGUCUAAGGGAACAGGUGUGGGGAAGAGGUGAGGUUGGAUUCCAUCUCUGGCUUUUUCUGGUAGAAAGGCCUAACCCAUUAAACCAGAAGACCAUUGGUGAAGUCUAGAUGGGGAAGAGAAGUGAGGCCGGGGACAGUUUGUGGCCCUUCCUGGACUGCACUAGGCAGGGAGCUCUGUUGUGUGGAGGGGCAGUCAGAUGUCUCUGAAGAGCGGGCAGGAGGCAUGGGCAGGUGAGGAGCCAGCCCGGCCCGGGCAGCAGCUCAGUUACAGCCUGCGGCUGCCCCUGACACCAGGAGGAGGGCCUGGAGAGUUUCAUGGGGGCUGGGACGCAAAGGGAGGCCCGCUUCCUCCCUGCCCAGCCCUGCUUGUAUCUCUCCAGACUUGGACAAUCAAAGGGAGAGGGUAUAUAGCAGGUCCAGUUCCAGCCAGCAUCGCCCGGUGGCUGCUAGGCCUCAGAGCUGUGUGGCAGGGCCCCCUGCUGGGGCUGGACACCAUUGCAGUCCAGUGCAAAGCCGCCCCCAGAGCCCAGGUGUCCCCCCAACCUAACCAGACCUGGUGCCUUGACGCCCCACCCCAGCUGGGACGGUACAGAGAAGGGUCUUGGUUUCCUCUCCUCCUCUCUUGGGUUCCUGAACUCAUUUGCUCCUAAAUCUCUUUAAUUCUUUUCCUCUGGAUUUUAGUUUAUUUUGGCUUUCCCUUGCCUUCCUUCUCUGCCUCCACCUCUCUUUCCCCAUGUCUCUCUUGCUGUCUCUAUGUUCCUCUUCUCUCAUCUUCAACUUUCUGUCCAUUCGGGCCUCCUCCCGCCUCCCAUGCCCCCAGCCCCUCCCUCCUUGGUCUCCUUUUCGAUAUGCCAAACCAAUUUUGGGUCGAGUGCAUUUAACGAGAACAAAACAAAAGGCUCAUAACAACAAGAACAUUUCAGAAAAAAAUAAAAAGUUAAAAAAAAUUUGUUGAGUCAAAAAGUCAAACAAUAAAGAAAUUAAGAUUUCUUGGAAUGACAA